UAUACUUAUAACAGUAAUUAUAAUAAAAAAUUACAAAAAUAUAUCACUGCGCUUUAAUUAACGUUGUUAAAAUAUAAAACUUGUUCUGAAAAAUAACAAUUUCUGCUAUAAUCGAAAAUUCCGGAUAAUUCUGCUCGUGAUCAACGUUAGGAAUAAUAACCGUUGUAAUGAAAGAACGUCUGUCACAAGGAUACCAAGCUGUAUGUACGACUUUUAUCGGCUAUCAGCGUUGCCAGACGAAGGCUUCAAAAUAAGUGACGUCACCCACCACGCGGCAAUAACUGAUACUAUUCUGUGAUGACGUCAUUAAACAGUUAGCGGCAACGGACGUCGUGUUAAACCAAACAAGCGACAGAAAAAUCAAAGCGGCUUGCUGUGCGGAAUGUUACCGAAGGGUGAAAAAUAUAAUUGCUGGAAACGACGCGGUAUUACCCCAGAACGCUGGAGUAAAUACAGUGUUAAACUCCUGCAGAAACACAGGUAAGUCCUCGGUCAACCACGCCAAACAUUGACUUAUUAAUUUUAUUUUGAAAUAAUUGUUUUACAAAGUUUGGGAGAGCUUUGGUCAAAGUUUACUAAUGAAAUUGGAUAAAGCAGAAACUGAAUUAACAGAGAUAAAGGAAGGAUUUUAAACCAACUUCAAACCGAUAGAACAGAAAUGGUGGCAAGGAAAGGGCGAAGGGGAGGAGUAUGUGCCCUUAAAGCAAGGUCGGGUACUUGAAGUACACAAAGUCGGAGAAACAAAAAACAUCGACUUGUUACUCAUGUCGACUCAUCGAGACGAAAUUAUGGCGUCUCGUCUCGGGAACCGUCCAACUAUAACUCGUGUCAUCUAUCCAGUGGGACUGACGGGGACGGUCCCUGGUCCAGACGAGCCUAGGUUCUAUAUAUGUUCACAGAUCUUAUACAUAGGCGUCGAUCCCAUUUGAUAGGCGUACCGGUAUUAUCGUCGUACUCCCCUUGUCGGUCGAGCGUCCAGAAACAGUUCUCCUGUACUCUCCCUUCUUCCGGUAGGCGUCCAGGUAUUGUCGCCGAACUCUCCUACCGGGAUCUCUCUCGUUCUUCUCCGGCAGGCGUCCAAGUAUUAUCGCUGUACUCUCCUGCCGGAGUCCGUAGCUUGCCGACCAAGAGCGGCUGAUGGUCUUACCUUGUCUUCUCUCUCAACUAACAGCAGGCAAAAUAGGCCGAGGCAGUCGCGAGCCCUUAAUUUAUAUCCGUUCGUUGCUAUCCGCGGCCGCCGUAAUCAACGAUCUCAUCGUCAGGAAUGAAUUUGGCGUUUGCCGCGCUCGCGUUCCGCUUCUCCGUUCGCGCGUCGUGUCCCUGCCUCCCGCGAUAGCCUAUAAGUGACACCGAUCUAUAGAUCAGUGAUAAUUGACUUUUUUCGAAAUUGUCUGGAUAAUUCCAGACCGCGUUGUUUUUGCAAAGUUUCUUUUUUUUCCGUUGUUACAAUGUCUAAAAAAUGAAGAAAUACGUAUGAAAAGGCAGUCGGCAAUAAGUCGCGCAAAAUAGUACACAUAAAUAAGCGA